AAACUUUUAACAACGGAUCUCUUGGUUCGGGCAUCGAUGAAGAACGCAGCGAAAUGCGAUAAGUAAUGUGAAUUGCAGAACUCAGCGAAUCAUCGAAUCUUUGAACGCACAUUGCGCCCGGGAGUAUUCUCCCGGGCAUGCCUGUUCGAGCGUCAUUU
rnacentral:rRNA from 1 species